AUCAGAGGUGGUGCCCCCCUUGUGGUCGGUAUACACGGUGGUGCAUGGCUGUCGUCAGAGGGAAGGUGUUGGGUUAAGUCCCGCAACGAGCGCAAGAGGAUGCUGGGUUGCCAGCAUGCCCUUCGGGGUGAUGGGGACUCACAGGAGACUGCCGGGGUCAACUCGGAGGAAUGUGGGGACGACGUCAAGUCAUCAUGCCCCUUAUGUCUUGGGCUGCACACGUGCUACAAUGGCCGGUACAAUGAGCUGCGAUGCCGCGAGGCGGAGCGAAUCUCAAAAAGCCGGUCUCAGUUCGGAUUGGGGUCUGCAACUCGACCCCAUGAAGUCGGAGUUGCUAGUAAUCGCAGAUCAGCAUUGCUGCGGUGAAUACGUUCCCGGGUCUUGUACACAC
rnacentral:rRNA from 1 species